UAGCUUGGGCUCAGAGGCCUGACAAUUAGCAGCCAGAUGCUAAUGGCACUAUCUGAGCAAAGUAAAUCUGAUAAACUGGCAAAGUUUAAUUGUUGGCUCAAUACAGAACUUAUAUUCUAAAAAAUUGCAUUGUCUUUCCGGAUGAAUUUAUGACAAGUUGUGGAAUUCCAUUUAAACAGAAUGUUGAAAAAUACUAGCUCCUAAGAAAAAACUAGUUAUAAUACCUGCUGGAGGGACAAAGGACAAUUAGUGAUGUCAUGUCUCUGACAGUAUUUCAUCCUCCAUGUUUCUCACCUUCAGGAAAGAAUAAUCCUCAUGAUAAAAGCGUACAUACCACAUGAAAAGCAAGAAAAGUGGGACCACCAGGAUAUUCUUGGACUUUUAACUUCCUGCAUUGCAACAUUGUAAGUGUGUACAGGCCUAAAGCUGAGAAAUUUUUGUGUGUUUCAUUUUAUG
rnacentral:lncRNA from 1 species